rnacentral:misc_RNA from 1 species
GAUGAAGAACGUAGUGAAAUGCGAUAAGUAAUGUGAAUUGCAGAAUUCAGUGAAUCAUCGAAUCUUUGAACGCACCUUGCGCUCUUUGGUAUUCCGAAGAGCAUGCCUGUUUGAGUGUUAUGAAAAUAUCAACCUUGACUUGGGUUUUGUGCUCUAGUCUCGGCUUGGAAUUGGGUGCUUGCCGCUUUAACGAGCGGCUCACCUUAAAUGUAUUAGCUGGAUCUGUCUUUGAGACUUGGUUUGACUUGGCGUAAUAAGUAUUUCGCUAAGGACAUUCUUCGGAGUGGCCUCGUUUCUAGGACGCUUGUCCGCUUUCCAAUACAAGUUCCACCUCGUGGACAUGACUUUUUAUUAUCUGGCCUCAAAUCAGGUAGGACUACCCGCUGAACUUAAGCAUAUCAAUAAGCGGAGGA